GAUGAACGCUGGCGGCGUGCCUAAUACAUGCAAGUCGAGCGAACGGACGAGAAGCUUGCUUCUCUGAUGUUAGCGGCGGACGGGUGAGUAACACGUGGAUAACCUACCUAUAAGACUGGGAUAACUUCGGGAAACCGGAGCUAAUACCGGAUAAUAUUUUGAACCGCAUGGUUCAAAAGUGAAAGACGGUCUUGCUGUCACUUAUAGAUGGAUCCGCGCUGCAUUAGCUAGUUGGUAAGGUAACGGCUUACCAAGGCAACGAUGCAUAGCCGACCUGAGAGGGUGAUCGGCCACACUGGAACUGAGACACGGUCCAGACUCCUACGGGAGGUAGCAGUAGGGAAUCUUCCGNCAUGGGCGAAAGCCUGACGGAGCAACGCCGCGUGAGUGAUGAAGGUCUUCGGAUCGUAAAACUCUGUUAUUAGGGAAGAACAUAUGUGUAAGUAACUGUGCACAUCUUGACGGUACCUAAUCAGAAAGCCACGGCUAACUACGUGCCAGCAGCCGCGGUAAUACGUAGGUGGCAAGCGUUAUCCGGAAUUAUUGGGCGUAAAGCGCGCGUAGGCGGUUUUUUAAGUCUGAUGUGAAAGCCCACGGCUCAACCGUGGAGGGUCAUUGGAAACUGGAAAACUUGAGUGCAGAAGAGGAAAGUGGAAUUCCAUGUGUAGCGGUGAAAUGCGCAGAGAUAUGGAGGAACACCAGUGGCGAAGGCGACUUUCUGGUCUGUAACUGACGCUGAUGUGCGAAAGCGUGGGGAUCAAACAGGAUUAGAUACCCUGGUAGUCCACGCCGUAAACGAUGAGUGCUAAGUGUUAGGGGGUUUCCGCCCCUUAGUGCUGCAGCUAACGCAUUAAGCACUCCGCCUGGGGAGUACGACCGCAAGGUUGAAACUCAAAGGAAUUGACGGGGACCCGCACAAGCGGUGGAGCAUGUGGUUUAAUUCGAAGCAACGCGAAGAACCUUACCAAAUCUUGACAUCCUUUGACAACUCUAGAGAUAGAGCCUUCCCCUUCGGGGGACAAAGUGACAGGUGGCGCAUGGUUGUCGUCAGCUCGUGUCGUGAGAUGUUGGGUUAAGUCCCGCAACGAGCGCAACCCUUAAGCUUAGUUGCCAUCAUUAAGUUGGGCACUCUAAGUUGACUGCCGGUGACAAACCGGAGGAAGGUGGGGAUGACGUCAAAUCAUCAUGCCCCUUAUGAUUUGGGCUACACACGUGCUACAAUGGACAAUACAAAGGGCAGCGAAACCGCGAGGUCAAGCAAAUCCCAUAAAGUUGUUCUCAGUUCGGAUUGUAGUCUGCAACUCGACUACAUGAAGCUGGAAUCGCUAGUAAUCGUAGAUCAGCAUGCUACGGUGAAUACGUUCCCGGGUCU
rnacentral:rRNA from 1 species